UCUUAGGUGCUCUCCUUCCUCACAUAUCUCCAUAAAAAAGAGAAUGAAAUAAGGAGAAAAAAAAAAGCAAAAAGAAAAAAAAUGAUCAAUCUAUGUGAGAAAAGGCCUAAUCUUUUAAUUUUUUUCAUCUUUCCUUCAUUGAUUUUGCCUAUAUUUUUUUUGAAUUUUUCAUCUAUUUUUCCAUCCAGGAGUCAAUCGGUUGGGAUGCUUGGAGAGGUGGUAGAAUGGGGAAGCUUUGAUGGUGGCUAG
rnacentral:lncRNA from 1 species